AACAGAACUCUUGUGCUGUAUAAGGGCACAGACUUGAAGAAACAACAUGUUGUCCAGCCAUUUCAGCUUGCAGUUAUAUGAUGAAUCAGGUAAAUGAUCUGAAUAAUGUUCCUUUCAGUGAAAAGCUCCUAAUACAAUGAGAGUUUACUAUUCCUUUUCAGCCUGCUGUGUGUUUUGGCUUCACCGACUGUAAAUCUUAAAUAACCAAACUGAGAUACAGGUAUUGGACAGGUGUUACCAGGUCCCACUGCAAAUGACAUUUACUAAUAUAUAUAUUCAUUAAAAUUGCUCACUUGUUGGUUCCUCACUGGGGAGGGGUCGCUGGUUCUCCUGCAGCUGAGGGGUCGGCUUCUUCUCUAAUUACCCCCUAAGUCCCGGUUACAACCACGGAGUAGAAAAAAAUCAGUGUGAAUUGGUAAAGUGACACAGAUACUCAGUAUUAAUAGUGGGUGCCGCAGUACAGGGGGUUUCAUGUGUCCCUAUUCACUAUGUUAAGUUAAUGAUAGAAUUAGAAUGCACAAUCUUGCUAUAUUAUUACAGUUGGUACUUAGUAUACUUAGUGUCUAUAUUACAUACACUCAUUGUAUAUUAUUGUUGCUUUGUCAUCACUAUGUUGCAUGUAGUUCUAGCUAUAAAUGUGCUGCUUAUAAAUGACAUCAAUACAUGAGGGUACUGAGUGGAGACCUACCUUGUGUCUGGGGGGCAUCCUGCGGGGAGUUGAACAGGGAACCUGGUGUUCUAUGUGGCCACAGGUGCUCAGUAUUAGCCAUUAGAUUGGCUCUAUAACUCCCUGCACUGCACCGACUCACUGCCUGUUAUAAGUCAAGUGUACUUAGUCCCAGGUGCUCUGUUCCUCUAACUGGGGUUCCUUUGGCUCCUGUUCUUGUCCCCUGGGACAUUCCUGGUUUAAACCCCGGCUUGUUCCUUCAGUUGCCUCACAAUUCUGAUCCUGUUAUCUGUUUGUGACCCGGGCCAGUCUAAGUCCAGCCCUUGUGUUUGGGCUCCAUUCCCUGAUUAUUUGUUAGGACUCUCUUGUGGCCCCGGUGGCAGUUGUUGGAUUCUCAGGCAAUUAGUCCUGGCGGUAUCCGAUUAGCCAAGGGCCGGGCACAAAGCCAAAGAGAUUUUAUAGGCAGAAGAGCUCACGAGACAGGAAUCCAGUCACUCCCCGGUGUUUAGGUUACUAUAUGUGACAGUCUAUAUGGUUACUCUGUCUAACGCAUUAUCUUCUAGUCUGCUCACAAUUUUCUCUUCUUAUAUUACCUGUAACUUUAAAAUGUAUGAAUUUAUCUUGCAGCAGUUGAAAGUUAUUUUAUCCAGUUCUGCGCCUCAAACUGUAAGUUUACUCCUUCAUUUCCUUCAUUUAGUGCUGAACCCUAAAAUACUUCAAGAGAGGUGAGUAUAUUCAGUGGUUAUCGAUAUUUAGGUCAAUAUCAUUAUCAGACCAAUUAUGUACUUCCUCGUUAAUUGGAUUCUACUUUUCACUCUGAAAUUGCAACAUGGUCUUUAUUUAAGGAACUUCUGCUGUUCUUUCAUUGCAGUAUAGCGGCUGUGCUUGCAUUUUACCUUGGCCACAAAAAUAAAGUUGUUAUUGCUCCGAGGUAGCGGCUCUGAUUAGUAGGGGCAGUAGCCUGUACGGGGCUUAACCUCUUGUUAUUCCCUCCCUAAAUAUAGAUGUUCUGCUUGGGAAGGUCCCAACGGUGCCCACUGUCAUGUGAAGGAUCAGGAAAAGAAAAUCUCAUUGUUUCCUCAACUCGUAUGGUUCUGGGAGUCUCACUCCAUGCUCAGGCUGCUUCCCGACGGUUGGUCUCUAAGUGGAGACUGAAAUCACUUGGAUUCCUGUGAGAUACCGAGGGGAGAAGGAGCUACUGGAGGGGAAAGUGGCCAAUACUAUAACAUCUGGCACCGCAGUUGCUGGGAAAUAGAAAUCCAACGACUCAGUUCUUCUCCGACAUAAAGUUGUGAUUAACCAGUUCCCUGCUCUCUCUGUAUAUGGAACCUGGCAGGUUUAAAAAUUCUAUAGGAUCUAGGACCUCAUCAGUCAACCAACCACCUGCAUUCCAGACAUAGUGAUCGAAUCAACCCAAUAUCACCUACUAAAGGUGGGAGAGAUUAGAGUUACACACACUUAAUACACAAAUCAAAUACUCAUACUUAUCCCCAUUGAAACAACAAUACUUUGAAUAUGGCAAUAAAUCCGGGAAGAUGUUCACCAAGAGCUUGAAAGCUAAGCAAGCAAAAUCCUUUAUUCACAAAACCCUUGUUACCUCACUAUUCACAGAUACCAGAUAAGAUUUGUAAUGGGACGGGAAGCGGAGGAGCAUACGCAUGUGGAGAAGGCAUUUGAUCAUAUAGAUUGGGAAUUUUUAGCUGCAACUCUACUUAACAUUGCAAUCCCCACCAAUUUUCAAGCAAAAAUAAUGUCAUUAUAUAAUGUUCCAUCUUCCCAGGUUUGGGUGAAAGGUGUUCUCUCAGUACCACUAGACAUAAGCAAUGGAACUAGACAAGGCUGCCCCCUAUCCCCAGUACUUUGUCAUUUGUAUGGAAUUUCUUUUUUAACUGCCAUACAGACACCCAGAUAUUACAGUGGUGGGGGGGCAAGGAAUACAAAGCGGCUGCUUUUGCAGACAAUCUGCUACUCAAAUCCAAUUAUUUGAUUACCCAUUCUCUUACAAAACUGACUCAACAUGUUACCUGUUCUAAUUACAAAAUUAAUAUGGAGAAAUGCAAGUUCUUAACAUUAGGGUUUUACAUUAGGGCAAACUAUAUCCCUAACACACCUAGAGGUUAAAAUAUGGGUCGACCAGCAAAAACUUUUUGAACAAAACUAUCCUCCUCUAUUACUAGAUAUCAAACACUUACUUAACACCCUGCCUAACCUGUCUAACCCUAACACCCUGCCUAUCCAUACUCUCUAACCCAAAGCUGAAAACUGCAACACCCUGCCAGUCAGAGGAAAGUAUAAUAUAACCAAGUUGUGAACUCAUUUCCCUGUAACAUUUAUUCGUAUCUGGAAACAACAGGAGAUUUGUCUGUGCUUGACCCGAGCUUAGAGCUGUCCGUAUAUAACACAAAACAUUUACAGUUCAACAAAUCAUUAAAACAUUAAGGAGACAUUGGGCCAGAUUCGAUUCAGCAAGAAAAGGGUUCAUCAAGUGAAAACUCAUGGACCAGAUUCAAUUUGAGAUGCAAUGCAAUUAAAAAAAAUGUGAACACACUAUUGGGAAUAAACUGGAAGUCUCUCUAAA